GAACCAGCCAUGCCGCGUGGAGGAUGAAUGCCCUCUGGGUUGUAAACUUCUUUUAUUUGGGACGAAACACUUCUGUUCUAUGGGGCUUGACGGUACCAGAUGAAUAAGCACCGGCUAACUCCGUGCCAGCAGCCGCGGUAAUACGGAGGGUGCAAGCGUUCUCCGGAUUCAUUGGGUCUAAAGGGUGCGUAGGCGGACAUGUAAGUCUGUGGUGAAAUCUCCAAGCUUAACUCGGAAACUGCCGUGGAUACGAUGUGUCUUGGAUGUUGUGGAGGUUGGCGGAAUAUGUGAUGUAGCGGUGAAAUGCUUAGGUAUGACAUAGAACGCCGAUUGCGAAGGCAGCUGGCUACACAACUAUUGACGCUGAGGC
rnacentral:rRNA from 1 species